rnacentral:pre_miRNA from 13 species
ACACACACACACACACACAAAUCUGUGUACAUAUAUAUUUACACAGAUUUGUGUGUGUGUGUGUGUGUGUG